CGAAUUGUUUCCGCGGGAUAAUGUAACGUGCGCGUACAAUACGCCUGAAAUCAAUGUCGUGGUUUAUUUUACUUUCCAUCGUCGCGGGAGAAACCCGAUGCAGGUCGCGCGCUCGCGGAAUCAGUGUCGCCUGCUUCGCUUGGGAUCACUUGCGAGCUUUCGUCACUUGCUCGUCACGAAAGCGAUCGUUCCCGUGGUGAGCUUAGACUUGCCGGUACGAUUUCGCCGGGUCGAUACCACUUUUCGCAACGGCGCAUGAAGGAUGCACGAAAGGGAAAGGCUUGAAAAGUAAAGCUCGAAAUCACGGCAAUGACGUGGCACUUACGAAUAUGCAGUCAUACUUUACCUGAAACUGGAAGCAUCAACAAUCUCAAACUUAAUUGCGCAAGUCACUACACGUCAUAUAUUGAAUUAUACAUAUUAUAUAUAUAUUGAAUUAUAUAUUAAUCAUUAUUUCAAAAGCAGAAAAACUAUUAAAUUUGCUGACAAAUUAUAUUAUAUUCAUCGUCUUAAAAUAAAAUAAUGACUGAAGAAAGUGCAGACAGAAUUACUUAGAAUUAAUGUCACAGAAGCAAGUACUGGGAAAUUAUUUAAGAUAUGAAAAAUAAUGUAAAUAGAACGCAAACGGAAAUUUAGUCAUAUUCCAAAUAAAGAAACAAUUCUGGAGGAAGAACCUUGACAGUCACAAAAGCGCAAGGAACAGCGUCGGCGCAGCGUCGUCGUCGCGACGCUUCCACGGCGAUGGUUAUCGUCGCGAUGCGCCGUAAUCGAUAAACCAGGCACAGCCAGCACGCCCACCACUGGCAGCGCGUAUAUUUUCGCCUCGCGUUGCAUUUAAAUAUUCAUAUUGGCCUCUUUCUACCUCGUAAUGUCGCCGUAACGUUAAAAAGCGCGAUGUGUAAUUGAACGCGUGGAAAAACUCUGACAUCAAUGAUCAAUCGGCCCAAAUGAUGGCGACACAAAACACAACGAGCGAAAGGGAGAGAUAAAAAA